UACGUAUGGAGCAAGCGUUAUCCGGAUUUACUGGGUGUAAAGGGAGAGUAGGUGGCAGAGCAAGUCCGAAGUGAAAACCCAAAGCUCAACUAUGGGAAUGCUUUAGAAACUGCUCAGCUAGAGUGCAGGAGAGGAAAGCGGAAUUCCUAGUGUAGCGGUGAAAUGCGUAGAUAUUAGGAGGAACACCAGUGGCGAAGGCGGUCUGCUGGACAGCAACUGACGCUGAGGCGCGAAAGCGUGGGGAGCAAACAGG
rnacentral:rRNA from 1 species